CCUACGGGAGGCAGCAGUGGGGAAUUUUGCGCAAUGCUCGUAAGAGUGACGCAGCGACGCCGCGUGAAUGACGAAGGCCUUCGGGUCGUAAAGCUCUUUCGACAGGGAAGAAAAUGCCUAUAAGUAACUGUGUAUGUAUUGACGGUACCUGUAUAAGCAGCCCCGGCUAACUCCGUGCCAGCAGCCGCGGUAAUACGGAGGGGGCGAGCGUUGUUCGGCGUGACUGGGCGUAAAGAGCACGUAGGCGGUGUUGUAAGUCAUUAGUCAAAGACUAGAGCUCAACUUUAGUAAGGCUAGUGAUACUAUAAUACUAGAGUAUCUGAGAGGAUUGCAGAAUUCCUGGUGUAGCGGUGAAAUGCGUAGAUAUCAGGAGGAAUACCGUUAGCGAAGGCGGCAAUCUGGCUGGAAACUGACGCUGAGGUGCGAAAGCGUGGGUAGCAAACAGGAUUAGAUACCCCAGUAGUC
rnacentral:rRNA from 1 species